UACGGAGGGAGCUAGCGUUGUUCGGAAUUACUGGGCGUAAAGCGCACGUAGGCGGCUAUUCAAGUCGGGGGUGAAAGCCCGGGGCUCAACCCCGGAACUGCCCUCGAAACUAGGUAGCUAGAAUCUUGGAGAGGUCAGUGGAAUCCGAGUGUAGAGGUGUAAAUCGUAGAUAUUCGGAAGAACACCAGUGGCGAAGGCGACUGACUGGACAAGUAUUGACGCUGGAGGUGCGAAAGCGUGGGGAGCAAACAGG
rnacentral:rRNA from 1 species